rnacentral:lncRNA from 1 species
UAGUGGCAGCUAGUGAUCCCCCCACCCCCCUGUCUUCUUCCCUCUGCCACGAUCCACGUCCCGGAAUUCCCAGAGCCACGUCUGUUUCCCAGCGAGUCCCGGAGCAGCUAAACGGAUGCAGACAGGAACAUCACCGCUCUGAAGCGACACACGCGGCUGCGGGAGCAGUUCCCCCUUCCUAGUAGUUGAAUGAGGAGGCGGGAGCUGCUGGCGGAGCAGCCUCUCACAGCGAGACAGGUACGACCAGGACAGGACCAAUCACAGCACACGGUACUGACGGACAUGCGCUACGACCAAUCACAAAUCCGCAGCAACUUCAAGAGGGGAGGGGCACGAAGAGGGAACCGCAGGAGCGCUCGUGCCCGUGCCAGACAGUCUGGGAUCACUGGAUCGUCCCAGAAGUCCCUGAUGUCCAAACGAGGUCAUGACUGCUCACCUCCUUCUGAAGGUCUCUGGAGAACCCACCACCACACAUGGUUUGCCACCUCCACCCGCAGAACAUGACAGAAUGAACCGACCCAAACCUGGACCUGUGGUGAGCUAACACACUUGCUUCUGGAAAAUUAUUUUUUCUUUUUCUCCCUUUCAGCAGAGGGUGAUUUCUGGCCUGGAGUUUUUGUGUUUGGCGCAUCCUACCUGUUCUCGGGGUGGUCGAAGUCCUCUGGGUGAUCCUGGCGCAUCCCACUUUGUCUUCGGGGUGGUCAGGGUCAUUCGCCACCUGCUGUUUUUGCCCCGUCCUGUUCUUCUCCUGAAGCCGCGGAUCCUGGAGCCUCAAGGGAAUUACACCCCCUACGCACGCCAUUAUUCUCCAGUGUGGUAGGGUUGGUCUCCCCGCUCUUCUCCGGUGGAUCCUGGAGCCUCAAGGGAGCUACACCCCCUACGCACACCAUUGUUCUCUGGUGUGGUAGGGCUGGUCUCCCCGCUCUUCUCCGGCUUCCCUUCACCCGAGCCUCCGCCGAUGGACCCAGCAGAUCGGGAAGUGCACCUGCUCUGAUUGGGAUGUCGAGUACCUGCCGCCGAGCUGGGCUUCCACGCGUCGCUCCCGCUGCUCAACCAUUUCCUGGUCCACGCCUGCAGAGUCUGUGCCUGCAGGUUCUCCACGC